ACUGCUUCAUCUUUCCCUUGCUUUCUCAUGGAAGAGGUGUAUUCUCGACAUUGAUGUCCAACGAGCUGGAUCUGUGAGGGCUUCUUCUCUUGCAGCGAUAUUCAUCUUUGUAUGCCCUCCAACAUUCGAGGAACUAGAGAAGCGCCUUCGGGCAUGGUAUAUUUGUAGUUUAUGAAAUGCAGUGUUUGGUUAAGCUCAGGUGAUGGAUUAUUUAAUUCUUAACGAAAGAACUAUAUGACAUGCUUGAUUUAUUCUCUGCUCAGUUGGUUAUACAGCGGAACAGAAACAGAGGAGAAGAUCCAGAAAUGACUCAGAAAUGCUCAGGCUGAGCUUGAUCAGUCCAAUUCACCAGGUCUCUUUGAUCAUCUUUUGGUAAAUGAUGACCUUGAAACUUACUAUGAGAAUUUGAAGAAUUUGCUUUCUCUGGAUGAUGAUCAGGAGGAUUCAGAUGCUCUUUACUUCUACCUGGUGACGUCCCUUUUUCAGAUACAAGAACGGUUCGAGGGGCCAAGGAUGUGAUGUUGCCUCAGUUGUCUGAUCAUAGUUCUUGAUCUAGCU